AUACGGAGGAUCCAAGCGUUAUCCGGAUUUAUUGGGUUUAAAGGGUGCGCAGGCGGAAGAUUAAGUCGGCGGUGAAAUUUUGCAGCUCCACUGUAAAAGUGCCAUCGAUACUGGUUUUCUUGAGUGUGGAUGAAGUAGGCGGAAUUUGUGGUGUAGCGGUGAAAUGCAUAGAUAUCACGAGGAACUCCGAUUGCGCAGGCAGCUUACUAGGCCAUAACUGACGCUCAGGCACGAAGGCGUGGGGAUCAAACAGGAUUAGAUACCCUGGUAGUCCACGCAGUAAACGAUGAUUACUCGCUGUUUGCGAUACACAGUAAGCGGCUUAGCGAAAGCGUUAAGUAAUCCACCUGGGGAGUACGUUCGCAAGAAUGAAACUCAAAGGAAUUGACGGG
rnacentral:rRNA from 1 species